rnacentral:rRNA from 1 species
CAGCCGCCACGGGAAUACGUAGGUGGCAAGCGUUGUCCGGAAUUAUUGGGCGUAAAGGGCUCGCAGGCGGUUUCUUAAGUCUGAUGUGAAAGCCCCCGGCUCAACCGGGGAGGGUCAUUGGAAACUGGGAAACUUGAGUGCAGAAGAGGAGAGUGGAAUUCCACGUGUAGUGGUGAAAUGCGUAGAGAUGUGGAGGAACACCAGUGGCGAAGGCGACUCUCUGGUCUGUAACUGACGCUGAGGAGCGAAAGCGUGGGGAGCGAACAGGAUUAGAUACCCCGGUAGUCCCUGUCUCUUAUAC